UACGUAGGGGGCAAGCGUUGUCCGGAAUCAUUGGGCGUACAGAGCGUGUAGGCGGCUCGGUAAGUCCGCUGUGAAAGUCCAGGGCUCAACCCUGGAAUGCCGGUGGAAACUGUCGAGCUAGAGUCCGGAAGAGGCGAGUGGAAUUCCUGGUGUAGCGGUGAAAUGCGCAGAUAUCAGGAGGAACACCAAUGGCGAAGGCAGCUCGCUGGGACGGUACUGACGCUGAGACGCGAAAGCGUGGGGAGCAAACAGG
rnacentral:rRNA from 1 species